AAUGAACGUUGGCGGCGUGGAUUAGGCAUGCAAGUCGAGCGAGAAACCUUUUUUUGCUUGCAUUAAAAGGUGGAAAGCGGCGAAAGGGAGAGUAACGCGUAGGUACAUACCCCCAGGUCUGGGAUAGCGGCGGGAAACUGCCGGUAAUACCGGAUGAUGUCUCCGGACCAAAGGUGAGAUUCCGCCUGGGGAGUGGCUUGCGUACUAUUAGCUUGUUGGCGGGGUAAAGGCCCACCAAGGCAAAGAUGGUUAGCGGGUGUGAGAGCAUGGCCCGUCUCACUGGGACUGAGACACUGCCCAGACACCUACGGGUGGCUGCAGUCGAGAAUCUUCCGCAAUGGACGCAAGUCCGACGGAGCGACGCCGCGUGUGGGAUGAAGGCCCUCGGGUUGUAAACCACUGUCAGUUGGGAGGAAGGUUUCGUGAAGAGCGAAACUUGACCGAUCUUCAGAGGAAGUCCGGGCUAAGUACG
rnacentral:rRNA from 1 species